UCCUUGGUGCUCUAGGCUCAGUUGGACCCACACCAAUCCAUCCCGAACUUGGUUGUGAAAAAGCUGAGGGGACAUCGUAACUUGACGGAAGCCUGUCUGGAACCGAUGUCCUAGUGCCAGGGC
rnacentral:rRNA from 1 species